AAUUUCAGUUGAAAAAGUCACGAACAUAAAAGUUGUAGAACUCAUCAAGACAUACAACUUUUAUUUUGAUCAUUUAUUCAUCCGACAAAGUGAUUGUAACAUUAUUCACAAAAUUUGCAUAUCUUUUAUAAAACCAUAUAAGAGAUAUGUAAAUUUUGUGAACAAUAUUACUGUCACUUUGUCAGAUGAAUAAAUGAUCAAAAUAAAAAUUAUAGAUCUUGAUGAGUUAUACAACUUUGUUGUUGAUGACUUUUCAGUUGAAAUC
rnacentral:pre_miRNA from 1 species